rnacentral:rRNA from 1 species
GAUGAACGCUGGCGGCGUGCCUAAUACAUGCAAGUCGAGCGAACGGACGAGAAGCUUGCUUCUCUGAUGUUAGCGGCGGACGGGUGAGUAACACGUGGAUAACCUACCUAUAAGACUGGGAUAACUUCGGGAAACCGGAGCUAAUACCGGAUAAUAUUUUGAACCGCAUGGUUCAACAGUGAUAGACGGUCUUGCUGUCACUUAUACAUGGAUCCGCGCUGCAUUAGCUAGUUGGUAAGGUAACGGCUUACCAAGGCAACGAUGCAUAGCCGACCUGAGAGGGUGAUCGGCCACACUGGAACUGAGACACGGUCCAGACUCCUACGGGAGGCAGCAGUAGGGAAUCUUCCGCAAUGGGCGAAAGCCUGACGGAGCAACGCCGCGUGAGUGAUGAAGGUCUUCGGAUCGUAAAACUCUGUUAUUAGGGAAGAACAUAUGUGUAAGUAACUGUGCACAUCUUGACGGUACCUAAUCAGAAAGCCACGGCUAACUACGUG